rnacentral:lncRNA from 1 species
AGAGAACUGAAUAUUAAUUUAUCAGGAAUUUUUAAGAGUUCAUGUUUUGUAGUGCAACCAAUAUGGAAAUCAAUAUCUAGGUGCCUCAAAAAACUAGGCAUGGAACCACCAUAUGACCAAGUUAUACGACUCCUCAUUAUUUAUACUGAAGAACUAAAGGCAUUUUAUGACUGUGAUACAUACAUACCCUUGUUUAAAGCAGCACAAUUCAAAAGAACUAAACUAUGAAGUCAACCUAGGUGUCCAUCAGCAGAUGAGUGGAUAAAUAAAAUGUGGUAUACAUGCACAAUGGAGUGUUAUUCAGUCACAAAGAAACAUGAAAUUAUGUCAUUUGCAGGAAAAUGGAUGGAACUUGAGACCAUCAUGUUAAGUGAAAUAAGCUAAGCUUGGGUGGUUAAGGACUGUACGUUUUCUCUCAUAUGUGGAAGCUAUAAAUAAAAAGGAAA